rnacentral:lncRNA from 1 species
GUUCUUGGCGGCGUCGCCGAUGAGCCUCUCGGUGUCGGUGAAGGCCACGUACGACGGCGUGGUGCGGUUGCCCUGGUCGUUGGCGAUGAUCUCCACCCUGUCAUGCUGCCACACGCCGACGCACGAGUAGGUCGUGCCGAGGUCGAUGCCGAUCGCAGGGCCCUCUCCCUUGUUGCCCGCCAUCUUUCUUCUCUUCCGAUCAAAUCAAAUCAAGCUCUCCGCUGAUGAACGAUCGAGUUGUGUUGUUGCUCUUCUGAUUCGCUCGCGCUGGGACGAUUUUGCUCUGUUUUUUUUCGCUUCGAUCUCUCGACUUUGGUGGGGGAGAAAGGCAAAGGGAGGGGAUUUGCUUAUAUAGGAGCAGAGCGGCGCGGCGUUCACGAAUGUUCGAGUAGGGGCGUGAUGUGGGUGGCGCGAAUAGGCGGAGGCGGUUUCGGCUCGGGGCCGGGCUUAAGGCUUGUGGAGGGUUCGGGUGUUGUGGCGCGCGCACGGGACGUCUCCAGAACGGUGCGGGGGGAUGGUGAUCUCUCUCGGUUCGCUCGCAGGUUUCGUGCGGCGGGUGGUUGGUGGGUUGGGUGCGACGACGUGAGAUCUUCUUUUGGUUUCCUUUGGGAGGUUGGUCCGUCCGGCUCGACCGCUCGAGCGGGUUCCCGCGCCAAGUGGAAAACGCUGGAGUUAUGUAUAGCGUCUGUGCCUUCUUGGAGACGGCUUUUGCUUUUUUUUUUUUCCUUUUUCUCUUACGUUUCGCCACCUGGAACGUAUAGAAAGAGAUGGUAGAUGGAAGGAGCCUUGUACGAGCCUGUUUGAGGAAUUUUUUUCAUUUUUAAUUUUAAUUUUUUUAAUAUUUAUAGAAAUAUUAUACCAUCCAAAAUAUUUACACAAUGGCCCCUGCCGUCCAAGUGGAGGGCUGCAAGGUGUGCGCAUUUUGCACUUAGGUCCUUUGCCGCCCUCUACAAAGGCUGCAAGGGAGUAAAUGCAAUUUUCGCCCUACCAAAAAUAUAUUUUCUAGUUUUUUUUUUCAACUUGUCCGUCCCUCGCGUCACCCUGCCACUCUCAGAGAGGGCGGUAGGGUCUAUUUCUGUAAAUAUUUUCGUCGGUACAAUAUUUCUGUAAAUAUUAAAAAAUAAAAAAUGAAAAAUGGAAAAAAAAUUCCCUCUGUUUGCGCAGGUGCUAUGCGUGCCGGGCCAGUCCGGUGUUCGUGCAGAGGCUCGACAGUGGUUAGCCGUUGGGCUGUGCCUGUGGCAGGCUGACAGCAUCACCUAUGUAGGCCCUUAGCUGUAGUUCAUGGGCCGGAACACGGUAGCAUAUGGCCAUGGGACCAUGCAUAUCGUCACUUAGGGCAGGCCUAAAUUAGGCUUGUCAAAUUUUUUUGCAACCUUAACAAUAAUUGUGUAUGUUUUUGACAUGCCUAUAUAACAUAGGCCAUUUUAAUAGCCAAAUUAGUUUAAUUUGGCUUCAAUCCAAACACAUGUUGGCCUUACCAAAAACAUUGGUCACAAAACAAACUGGCCCUUAGUCUCUCUAUUUGUCGGUCAGUCCUAUUUUCGUCCCUUAACUACAAAACCGAAUACGAUCCAUCCCCCAACUUACGAAAACCGGGCAAACGAGGUCCCUCGGUGGUAUGAAGGGCGGUUUUGGCCGAUGAGACGCCUACGUAGCUCCUUUGACUAUGUCUUCGUCCCACGUGGCAUCCACGUAUCGCUUACAUGGCAAUUUUAUCCCAAAAAAUAAUAAAAAUCGUGGGACCAUAUAUCAGCUACACAAAAAAUAAUUCCUCUCUCUCCGAGCCGGAGCAGGCGACGACUGGGGCGGAGCGGCUGACCGGCUGAGCGGGGUGGGACAGGGCGGGGCAGGCCGCAGCUAGAGCAGGCCGGCAGAGCGGCGUCGGCCGGAGCAGGCGAGGGGCAAGGCGGCGCUCCACGCGGCUCCAGCAGGCGGCGGCCGCGGCACAGACGAGGGGCAAGGCGACGGAGGACGACAACAACAACGCCGGCGCCGCAGGCGAGAGGUUGGCCGUGGUGGCGCCCAUCCUCGCCGCCGACGCGGCCCUCCAAGCUGCCGAUGUCCUCGUCAUCGUCGUCUUUCACGACGGACCCACUGGCGGAGUUCCUCUGCUCAAUCUCCGGCACGCUCGCCUUCUUCCCGCCGGCUGUCACCGUCGACCUCUCCGCGCUCCCCUCCGCCUCCUCCCCACCUUGCCGAGGUUGCCGCCCACCGUCGGUUCGCUCCGCCACCUCCCGCCUCGCUCGCCUGCUCCGUCAUUCUCCUCGCCGCCCACCCGCCCUUCCCUUUCGUGCAGAUCCAGGCCGACGCCCUCUCUGCUGCCGUCCCUCUUCUCGCCGCCGCCCCUCUGCUCUGUCGCCGCCGGCCACACGCCUUGUGGAGCUCGAGGCAGGUGUUGCGCUCUCGGUCGCGGAGAGGACACCCCCCGUGAAGUCCUCUAGCGUGCAUGGGUGCGCGAUGUGCAGCGCGGAGGGGACGCGCUUGUGAAGUCCUCCCGCGUGUUCAAGAGCUACUAGCGGCGAGCGGCGGCCUGAGGAGAUAACCCGCCACAGUUGCCGCGCUCGCCGGCGACCUCCUUCUCUUCCUCCUCCUUCGGCUACCUCUGCCGCCGCUGUUCCGCCGGCAUGCUUCGGCCGCCGUCGUCAUCAGAGACGGUGGGGACUGGGAUGACGACGACAACGAUGGCGGCGAUGGCUGUGAGGUGGCGCUGCGGUGCGAUGAGGAAGAGGAGGGAGAGCCAAGAGGGAAGAGGAUGACAUGUGGGGCCCACCCACCAUAUUUAUUUUGUUGUGUAGCUGAUAUCUGGGCCCAUGGCUUUUAUUAUUUUUCCGAUAUAUAAUUGCCAUGUAAGUGUCAUGUCAAUGCUAUAGGAUGAAGACCUAGUUAAACUAGUUAAACUAGCCACGUAGACGUCAUGUCAGCCAAAACCGCUAUCUAAACCGUACUAGUUUUGUAAGUUAGAAAAUACGUUUUAGUUUUGUAAGUUGGAAAAUAAGUUGUAUCUAAUUUUACGGUUCAGGAACGAGUUUUGUAAGUUGGAAAAUAAGUUGUAUCUAAUUUUACGGUUCAGGAACGAAAAUCAUACUGACGACAAAUUGAGGGAUAAAGUGAACUUAUUCCUAUCCUUACCCAUGUGAUUCAUGAUUGAACACAUCAUACAUCAAACAUGGCCAUUUUUUCUCGUUUGGACUUUGGAGUACAGACCACAACCAACGAGAUCACAGUUUUAUUCCAUAUAUCAACAGAUCAGUGGAGAACAGUUCACAUUAUUGAACAUACACGGCUAAAAUCCCCCAACCGAGCAGGCGCAUGGCCGCUACGCGCGGACGUGGCUGCCCAUGCGCACGAUGAUCCCGUCGAUGUCCCUGACGUACCCGACCUUCUGGCCCCAGCUCUUCUGCUCCGGCGGGCUCACCGGCACGGCGCCGCUGUCCACGGCCCGCCGGUACGCCGCGUCGACGUCCGCGUAGUCGAAGCAGAUCUCCACGGGCCCCCGCUCGCCGGCCGAGUCCGGCAGCUGCACCGCGCCCGUCAGCGCGUCCGUCUCCCUCUGGUGCAGCGGCGUGAACGCGAUCGUCGUCGUCCCGCUCUCCAGCUCCGCCCACCUUAUAAUUCAUUACACGUCACACGCAUCAGGAAGUACUUUCAAGCAGCCAGUUAAAAAUUUAAGACGGGGAAAAAAAAUAUUAACCGAGGAUGGUUUACUUGUGGGAUUGGUCGAGGCGGCGGACGGUGUAGCCGAACGCGGCGGAGUAGAAGGCGGCCGACUUGGCGACGUCCUUGACGUAGACGACGGUGUAGGCGAACGCCGGGCUCACGGCGCCUUCGGAGGCCAUGACACUCGCCUGCUGAGGUUUGUCACGUACGGCCUGAAGACGACGCUUGUGUUGUGCAGUGCAGUGUUCGGUCUUUCCUGGAGCCCACGAGCUCCCAUUUGUGCGUGCGGGCGCAGCCGCCAGAGUCGGCAGACCGGGGAGGUGGCGCGCAUGCACGCGGUGACCACUCCUCCUGCCUCCACGUACGUUUGCCUCUGGCUUUCCCUGCUCAUUGCUCAUCGUCAUCGUCAUCGGUGAGGAUGUCUCCGGCCGGUUCGGGCCGAGCAAGCAGCAGGUUGCACGGCCCACACAUGUAAGGCCUGUCACGUAUGGGCUCGGAGAACGGUUUCUUUAGCAGGCCGAAUAUCCAGGCCCUUUUUCACUUUUUGCCAAACACUCAACUGGGCCGCAGCAUCCUCAACUGCAGCUGCAAGGGUGAACAUCUGACCUAGCUAGAUAGAUGCUGCCAUAGUGCCAUGGCAUAUUGGCAUGGAGUCGACGGGAUGAGGUCAAGAUAGUGGACGUCGUUGGCUCGUUGCAAGUUGCAACUGGCCAAUCGUGCUAUAGAAAUCGGUGCUGAUUGGGCGGUAUAUCCGGUUGGAUCGCUCCUAACUCCGAAAUUUUGUUAGGUAUGUCACGUCGUUUCCGCAACUAGUUCAUCGUCCUGCCGAUAUAUCUGGCACUAAGUUUGGACUUUGGGGCUAUGUACGUAAGCAGCAAACUCUAUCUUCAAAGCAUCCCAGCACACGCCAAUAGCAGGCAUUAUAUGUGACUCCAGAGCGAACCGCCAAGGCACAGUUUGUAAAGAUUUGACCAGACCGAAGUCGUUAUAAUACUCCCUCCGUUUCACAAUGUAAGUCUAGCAUUUCCCACAUUUAUAUUGAUGUUAAUGAAUCUAAAUAUAUAUAUCUAUCUAAAUUCAUUAACAUAAAUAUGAAUAUGAGAAAUGCUAGAAUAACUUACAUUGUGAAACGGAGAAAGUACAUUUAAAGUUCACCCCCGUAGUUUUCAUGACCUGUACAUGCUCCGUUCAAUUUUGGCAGAAGUUGUGGAACGUACAGCCAUAUAUCUAAUUAUUAUUACUCCGUAAGGAGACUAACUAAGGAGAUACAUGGUGGAUUAAUAUGACACACUAUCUAAGCUUCUAAAUGGUGUUAUUUUUUAAAAACACUUAUAUAUAUAUAUAUGAAUUUUUAAAAAACUAUUAUGUGUUCAUUUUUCAACUUUGUAUUACUUAGUUCAUUCAUUUGUACCUUAAUAGUAAUCACAAAAUCACUCAACCAUUCAUCUAUUCAGCAAAUAAAAACAUAGUGCAAAAGGGCAUGAUCGAUCAGAUGGUGACACACACAGUAAGAUGUAGCUAGAGCGCCAUUUUCAAUCUGCUAAAUCAAUUCAGUUGGAGAGCGCAAGAACCGAUCGAGUAGUGAUCAACUGAUCAUUAAACGAUUUCUUAUAUAUAACGUUAUGAGAUCAGGGAUUAGCGACAGUUCGAUUUAUAGUUUAGGGUGUGCGUGCAUCUCUCAUGUAUUUUUUUUCUAAAGAAAAUAUUAAGACUAGGGAGAGAAGAAA